rnacentral:rRNA from 1 species
UACGGGGGGAGCAAGCGUUGUUCGGAUUUACUGGGCGUAAAGGGCGCGUAGGCGGUCGUGACAAGUCACUUGUGAAAUCUCCGGGCUUAACUCGGAACGGUCAAGUGAUACUGUCGUGCUAGAGUACAGAAGGGGCAACUGGAAUUCUCGGUGUAGCGGUGAAAUGCGUAGAUAUCGAGAGGAACACCAGUGGCGAAGGCGGAGUCCCUGGGACAACACCUGACACUGAGGCACGAAAGCUAGGGGAGCAAACAGG